CUUGGUUAGGCCUUCCCACUGACACCCAGUGGGACGUGAUGGCAGAGCAGUUGGUGCUUUUGUCAACAUGCUGCUUCCAGAUCUUCAGGUUACUAUUAAAAUCCCACCAAACCCUGCCACUGGCGUCCGUCGGGCUUUGUGGAUUGAUUCAGAUUUAAGGUGCGCCCCUCUAGGCCUUAGCACUGGAGGUGGAAAGAGCAGAAGAGUAAAACUUGGUCUUGGGGUCCCCAAAUUCAGAGGGAGUGACCGCAACAGAGACAGAGUCUCACUCUGUUGCCCAGGCUGGUCUUGAAC
rnacentral:lncRNA from 1 species